UUGAAUCUGAUUUUAGCUCUCUAAGUUGAAGUUUAUGCUUCAUACCUGAGAGUAAAUCGGAUCAAGAGCUUGCGGGGACCUUUUGUGCUACUUGAUUUCUCUGAUUUGCUUGAGUUUUUGGAGUUCUAUUUGAUCGAGGAUACUUUGCACUUCAUAUAACGGGACGGGUGUAAUGUGAUGAAAGCAUGGUGGAUACGCCGCUGGUGUUGAUGCUUGAUUGAUUUCUAGGAUGCAUGCGUCACAUAGGAUUUGGACGAGGCCUUAGUGACAUAACAACUAUGAUAGACGAU
rnacentral:lncRNA from 1 species